GACGAACGCUGGCGGCGUGCUUAACACAUGCAAGUCGAACGGAAAGGCCCUGCUUUUGUGGGGUGCUCGAGUGGCGAACGGGUGAGUAACACGUGAGUAACCUGCCCUUGACUUUGGGAUAACUUCAGGAAACUGGGGCUAAUACCGGAUAGGAGCUCCUGCUGCAUGGUGGGGGUUGGAAAGUUUCGGCGGUUGGGGAUGGACUCGCGGCUUAUCAGCUUGUUGGUGGGGUAGUGGCUUACCAAGGCUUUGACGGGUAGCCGGCCUGAGAGGGUGACCGGCCACAUUGGGACUGAGAUACGGACCAGACUCCUACGGGAGGCAGCAGUGGGGAAUAUUGCACAAUGGGCGGAAGCCUGAUGCAGAAACGCCGCGUGCGGGAUGACGGCCUUCGGGUUGUAAACCGCUUUAGCCUGUGACGAAGCGGGAGUGACGGUAAUGGGUAAAGAAGCACCGGCUAACUACGUG
rnacentral:rRNA from 1 species